UAUAUAUAUAUAUAUGUGUGUGUGUGUGUGUGUGUGUGUGUGCAUGUGCAUGAUUGUAAGAAAAGUAACGACACACACACACACACACAACACAACACACACAUGCAUGUA
rnacentral:miRNA from 1 species